rnacentral:rRNA from 1 species
AAUCAACGCUGGCGGCGUGCCUCAGACAUGCAAGUCGAACGAUUAAAGCUCCCUUCGGGGAGUGCAUAAAGUGGCGCACGGGUGAGUAACACGUAAGUAAUCUACCUUCGAGUGGGGAAUAACGUUCGGAAACGAACGCUAAUACCGCAUAAUGCAGCGGCAUCUAUGAUGACAGUUGUUAAAGAUUUAUCGCUUGAAGAGGAGCUUGCGGCAGAUUAGCAGUUGGUAAGGUAAUGGCUUACCAAGGCUACGAUCUGUAACUGGUCUGAGAGGACGACCAGUCACACCGGAACUGAGACACGGUCCGGACUCCUACGGGAGGCAGCAGUGGGGAAUAUUGGACAAUGGGCGAAAGCCUGAUCCAGCGACGCCGCGUGGGUGAAGAAGGCCUGCGGGUUGUAAAGCCCUUUNAGUGGGGAAGAAAAGCCUCGAGCUAACACCUCGGGUCUUGACGUAACCCAUAGAAGAAGCACCGGCUAACUCUGUGCCAGCAGCCG